rnacentral:lncRNA from 1 species
AUUCAGUGAUUCUUUUAUUGAAUUAUAAUUUACAUACAACAUUACAAAAUAAUAACAAUACAAAAAAUUGAAUUUAGCAGAAAAAUUAUGGUGAAAGCCUCUGAUCUUAACAUCACAAAUAAUGUCUUCUACUAGGCACCUAACUUUCAAGGGGCUACAUUUUUCUUUCUCUUAGGUAGAAAAAAUAAAUCUGUCUCAUCAAAAUAUAUCCUUGAAAAUUGAGAAAAUACAACCAAAUGACACAAAUGCUGGAAUUACCUAACAUGGAUUUUAAAGCAUCAGUCCUAUAAAUGACUGAAAAAUAAAAGUAAAAUAAAAUCAAUAAUAAUAAAAUAAAAAUAUAAAUAAAUAAAUAAAUAAAUAAAUAAAUAAAUAAAAUAAGCAAUCACAAGCACUUAGAACAAAUGGGAAAAAAGGAGGGGUCUCGCUAAAGAAAUAAAAGAUAUGGGAUCCCUGGGUGGCUCAGAGAUUUAGCACCUGCCUUUGACCCAGGGCAUGAUCCUGGAGACCUGGGAUCGAGUCCCACGUCGGGCUCCCUGCAUGGAGCCUGCUUCUCCCUCUGCCUGUGUCUCUGCCUUUCUCUCUCUGUGUGUCUCUCAUGAAUAAAUAAAUAAAAUCUUAAAAAAAAUAAAAGAUAUAAAGAAGAACCAUGUGAAAAUAUUAGAACUAAAAAAUACACCAGAAAUAGAAAUUCAAUGGAAGGACUCAACAACAGAGCAGAGGGACAGAGGAAAGAAUUAGUAUACACAAGGAUAGAAUUAUAGAUAUUACCCAACAUGAACAAAAGAGAGAAAACAGACGGCAGGGGAAAAAAUUAUGUGCAGAGCUCAGUGACCUGUUAAAGUAAAACAAUAUAUUUAACAUUAUGUCAUUAGAUUCAAGGAAAGGGAGGAGAGUGUGGGACUGAAAAAUGUUCUAAGAAAUAAUGGCUAAAAUUUUUCCAAAUUUGGCAAAAGACAUAAGCCUAUAGAUUCAAACAUGGAUGGGCCUCGAGGGUAUUAUGCUAAUUGAAAUAAGUCAGACCAAGAAAGACAAAUAUCAUAUGAUUUCACUUAUAUGGGGAAUCUAAAAAACAAAACAAGUGAAAGAACAAACAGAAACAGAAUCAGAAUUAUAAAUACAGAGAACGCACUGAUGGUUGUCAGAGGAAAGGGGUUGGGGGACCAAAUGGGUAAAGGGGAGAUUAAGAGAUACAGGCUUCCAGUUAUGGAAUGGACUAGUCUGGAGAAUAAAAGGCACAGCAUAGGGAAUGUAGUUCAUGAUAUUAUAACAGUGUUGUAUGGUGACAGAUGGCAGCUACACUUGCGGCAAGCACAGCAUAAUAUAGAGACAGUUGAAUCUCGAUGUUGGGCACCUGAAACUGAUGUCAUAUUGUGUGUCAACUCCACUCAUAAUUUUUUUUUUUUAAAUUUCAAAAGCUGAGCCAAUUCCAAAUGGGGUAAAGCCAAAGAAAUCCACAAAGACACACCAUAAUCAAACUUCCAUCAACUAUAGACAAAGAAAAAAAUCUUAAAAGUGGAAAAAGAGAAAUGACAUUUUGCCUCUAGAGGUAAAACUAUUUAAGUGACAGAUUUGUCAUCAUAAAACACAAAUGCCAAAGGAAAGUGGCAUAUUUUCAAAUGCUGAAAGAAAAACAUGUCAGCCCCACAUUCUGUAUCUGGUCCAAAUCAUCCUUCAGGAAUUAAGGGGAAAUCAAGACAUUCUCAGAUGAAGAAAAAUGAAGAGAAUGUGUAUCACCGAUAGACCUGCAAGAAGGCCUAAAAGAAGUUCUUGAAUAUUCAUGCAUGCACUUGAUGGUUUUACUGAAGGAAGAUGUAAUCAUUCUUAUCCAAAUUAUAUAAAUGGAAAGUUGGAAGCUCAGAGCAAUGAAAGAACGUAUCCGAAGUUGUCCAGAGAGAGCGUUUUAUGAUUCAAGAAAAAAAAAAAAAAUCAGUCAUAAAGGAAAACCCAUUUAACAAGGUUUUCAUUUCCCCCUUUUUGUGUCCUGUGUUACACUUUUGUGGUCUCCCCAUAAAAAAGUCGUUGUUUUCUUUAAUCUUUUAAAACUCUUAAAUGGAAUUACAAAUGUCUUCUUAAUUGUAAUAUAAAGUGUCCUAGUCCAUUCAUAGAUCUAGACUAUAAAAAUGGGUAUAAUACCUUAAACAAAUUACAGAGACCAUAUUCUUCAAAUAUCCUGCCUUAGCUAACGUCUAUAAUGACAAACAGUGAAAUCAUUUUGAAUCUACUGGGGCCAAUUUACUGGUGCGGUGCACAGGGUCCAGGGCUUCCAGCUAUAAUUAGAAAACGGCGCCGGCCCUCGAUUAGUUUCGGUGACUAUAGUAAUUCCAUAUGCAACCUAUGCCUGCUGACUAGUGAACUAGAUCGUGUAUCUUUUGUAAAUUGCUCUUGUUAGUCACUUGUAAUUUAUUUUAUGUUUCCAACAACAAUUUCAAACCGGCAAUGUCAGGAACACAUGUUUUUGCAAUUAUUGGAAAAACAGACCAGAGAAUGUGCGCCUCCAACCAUAUCCCCACUAUUGGCUAUCAAUAUUUACGUAAACUACUGAAUAUUUCCGAAAAUCAACAAAGGUUGUGAACAUAAUUUCUCGUUUAAAAUACAGGAUAGAAAACAUACUUCCUGUCUGGCUCAGGAUAUUUGUUUCAAAACUAUGAGGUUGCUUUAUCUCCAAAAGACACUAUAAUUUACAGCCUGCGCUGCUUUCCCUAUUCUUUAUUCUGAUAGUCAAUAUAUUCAUAAUAGAUUACUUGAAAUUUUUUCUUAACAUCCAUUGUGGCUUCAAAUUCAGUUGACAUUUUUAAGGUGCCUAAUGUUUCUAAGACUAGCAAACACCUUCUUCUACCCAUUCUUGUCCAUGGCUGCAUCUAUAGUCAGUGAAAGCUAACAGUGUGCUGUUUUCUUAUUCCAUUUUGGCGUAUUGUCAAUGCUCAUAAAUGUAUGCAUAGUCUCAAACAGAAUAUUUUACAAAAUGAGUAUUGAUAAUGUGUCAGAUGUUUGGUAUAAUAAUGAAUAUUUCAACAGCUAUCCCACAGAGUUUUGAACAAUUAUGGAAAUAAAAUAUCCAAUAUUGAUUUACACAUAUAUCCAUACAUAUUGCUUUCCAGACGUAUCUUUUUAAGAAAUAAAAAACUUGGUUCAUAACAUAAAAAUAUGUAAGUCAAAUAAAUUGGUUUGUAAUCAAUUUUAGACCACUGAAUCACAGACCGACAUAUAAAUAGGUGAUCAAAUGCUAUUUAAAUAAAUAAAUGAGUAAAAAUUUGAAACACAUAUACGAAACUGAAGGUUAUAGUGAGGAGGCUUUGUUUGUAGUGAUAAACAAAUAUGCCUUUAGGAUAAAUUUGUUUUAAAUAUUGAAUAUGAAACCCAUAUCUUAGUACAAAUUUCAAACAUGUCCCUAACAUUGAGAUUAUAAUAGGCCUCAUUCAGAAGCUGAUAAUACUCUCUGUAGUACAUGUAUAAAUUUAAAAUACAUAGUGAUUAUUCACUUUUUAUAUCCCUAUGCUUAUACUUCUGAAUUGCUGUAUAUAAAAUUUUUCUAAGAUUUAAGUCCCAAUCGUCCAUGAGAUAAAAAGAUAAAACCACAAUGAGACUUUAAAACACUGUAAGCUCUUUUGAACUCAAACCUUUACCCCAAUAUUAAGAGUAAUGGAGCUUCAAGAGACAGUUGAAUACACAUUAAUUAUUGUAAUUAUUCAAGCUGCUUUCCCUUAGGGCCAUCAGAUUUCUAAGCUGAAAGGGCAUUCUUAGCCCACCAUGACAAUUAGCACCUGAUAAAUGAUGCUACUGCCACACUUCUAAGAUAGUGAUUGAUCAUUUCCAAUUAAUUCCUAAGAGAAAUCAAUGCUUCCUUCCUAGAGCAUUUAUGUUAACUAAUUUAUAUUAAUACAAAUAUUCUAUAUCCACAAUUAUCUAGGGAAGAUGGGCCAUUCUGUUCAUAACAGGCUACUACUUUAGGGCAUCGGUAUACUGUUUCAGAGCUCCAAAAAUGUGUAAAAGAGUUAUAAAAUCCAAGCGAAAUUGAGCAAUUUAACCACAGCAACUGAAUCUUGACAUUAAUGAAGGUUGAUCCAUAUCAAAUGCAACAAAGAAGUUUUAGAUGAUUAUUUAGGGACGCCUGGGUGGCUCAGCGGUUGAGCGUCUGCCUUCAGCCCACCAGGAGUCCUGGGAUCAAGUCCCACAUCGGGUUCCCUGCAGGGAGGCUGCUUCUCCCUCUGCCUGUGUCUCUGCCUCUCUCUCUCUAUGAAUAAAUAAAUAAAAAUCUUAAAAAAAAAUAAAAGAUUUUGCAGAUUGUUGGGUUACAAUUUGAAAAUGCUACCACGUACUGAGUUCCCCACUCUUCUUGUUUAGAUUUGUCCUCCUUGUAGCCACUAGAAAAAAUAUUUGCGUUUCUUAGAGAUGUGAUGCAAAGGGUAACACUCUAAUGAAAUGUUCGCUCCAUUCCUAUUCCUACCUUAUUAUGUGCUCCAUUCUCAUGCAUUCAUAAAUAGUUAUCAACUACUUAAUAUGCCAGUUUGUCUAACGUUAUGGAGAGGACAAAUAACUUGAUACCAGAAAACUAUCCUUUAAAGUCGGUGUCGAAGUUAAGUUGGUAUGGGUUAAAGGAAAAAGGAACACUUCCACUUCUGGCAAAGCCACAAGUGUAUUUUAGAUGGGACUCAACUGCUACAAACAUUUAGAUUCUCAACAAAACAUACUUUUUUAGUGCUUUGUUGGAAUUUUAGGAAAUAAAGGAAAUUUCCAAGUCACCUUUCUUACCCUUCCUCACCCUGCCCCCCGCCCCCAGCCCCCUGCCAAACAUAGAUCUCCAAAGGCAGAGAGAUGUGAGAAGCAUUCAAACAUGGGGCUUCACCUUUAAGCCUAUAGCAGUUUUUCCAGUCGCCUUCAACCAUGUGAUUCAAAGUAGCUCACUAGCAUUGUACUGACAUCCCAGGUCUUUGGAAAGGAGAAACAAGGCCUAAGAGCAAAUUAAUUUCAUAUCCUUAGAGUGUGAAUCUUAAGCUGUAUGUAUCAAUUCUGCUUGUAUACAGCUGGUCAAAACCUAGUGUGAGGACCAUACCUAACUGCAAGAGACAUUGGGAAUUUACUCUCUAAUUGGGUGGCCAUUUCUAGCUGAAAUGUGGGGGUGAGAUAUUAUUAUAUAUCAAAAAAAGAUAUAUGUCAAAACAUGAGACUUGCAGUGAAAGCAGAAUUCAGAAGACAAUUUAAAUGUUAUAUAAUAAUACAAAAAGGAGCUACACAUAGGCUAAAUGUUCUCAUUUAAGAAGGAAAGAACAGAAUAAAACAAAAUAGAUAAAAUAAGAGCAGAAGCUUUUGAAAAGGAAAAAUGUAUAAGGUAUUAAUUAUUGGUAAAAAUUAUGUAACAUUUAACAUCUGAAGAGACUAAUAAAAAAAAGAGCAUAAACAGGCUAAGUAAAAAAAAGAAACAGAACUUUAUAUAGAUACUUAUGAUGAAAAAAACAGAAAUAUUAGUGAUCAAAAAAAUAAGAAACCACUUUGUUCCAAUAAAUUUGAAAACUUAGAUGAAAUAAACUUUGAUAGGUUAACUUACUAAAACUGACCUUAGAAGAAAUAGAAGUAUGAACAGCUAUUACAACCAUUAACAAAAUUUAAAUUUUAGUUAUGUAAUUAAAAAAAACAUUCAGCUCAGAUUGUAGUAGAGAAUAAUUCUACAAAACUCUCAAGGAGGGACGCCUGGGUGGCUCUGCAGCUGAGUGAUCCUGGAGUUCUGGGAUUAGGUCUCGAGUCAGGCCAGGAUUAGGUCUGGAGUCUGGCUCCUUGCAGGGAGCCUGCUUCUCCCUCU